UACGUAGGGUGCGAGCGUUAAUCGGAAUUACUGGGCGUAAAGCGUGCGCAGGCGGUUCGUUGUGUCGGUGGUGAAAUCCCCGGGCUUAACCUGGGAAUGGCCAUGGAAACUGGCGAACUUGAGUGCGUGAGGGGUAGGGGGAACGAGCAGUGUAGCGGUGAAAUGCGUAGAUAUUGCUCGGAAGGCCAGAGCCGAAGGGGCCCUACUGGUGCGCAACUGACACUGAGGCACGAAAGCGUGGGGAGCAAACAGG
rnacentral:rRNA from 1 species